rnacentral:piRNA from 1 species
CACAAUCUCCCCAGGUGUGGCUUGG